GACAGCUGAUGGAGUCACUGACUGAUUUAAUAAGGAAAAGAGAAGACGUGUAAAUGUACGGUUUAAAUAUAGAGUUACAUGUACAUGUUUGGUCUUGUACGAUGAGGCCUUGUCCUUUCUCCUCCCUGACAUCCUCAAGGCUGAUGUUUUGACUGAUGAUUCUCUGGUGCAAGAGGCCAGACUCAGACUCCCCUGGCAGGCCGCCUGCAUGGACAGACUCUUAAUCAGAUUGUCGAUAGAGGAUGAUGAGAUGGAGCCCGGGCUGGUCGAGAGAGCAACACUCAGCAUUCACACUCUGUUUCAGCCAGCAGUUUAAACACAGCUACAGGGUGAGAGCAAUGGGAAAUGCAGGUAUAAAUACAAAUACAGAUGAAUAAUGAAUCAGUAGAGACACAAAUAUUUAGCCUUGUAUAAUUAUUCUCUCUCUCUCUCCUAAAACAUUCCUACAUUUAGCAGUUUUACAACCUGGGAGUAGUGAAAUAGACUUGAUGGGGAUUAUGCUAUAAAUGUACACAAAAUAGUGUUGAAGUGUUUGUCCCUGUUCACUGCUAUCACUAGAACAGGAACUGUGAGAAUUUGGAUUGUAGUUAAUGUCAACAAUCUGCUACACUGACUUCAGUUUGCAUCGGAUCUCCAUCACUGCUCCUCAACAUCAGUUACCUGUAAUAAAUAGACAUUCGGUGCCACUCAGACGAGAUGAGAUGCUCAAUGUUUAGUUUGGGUGUCACUAAUAAUUAACAUUCAUUUGCAUAAAGCAUCAAUUUUUGUCCAUGCGCAUGUUGAUUAGAGUAUUCAAAUCUAUUCAUAAUACAUUUCGAACAGAUAAAAAGUGGCAUUAAGUUGCGAUUAAUCACAAGUUAACUCAUGACAAUCAUGCGAUUUAAAUAUUUCAAUCGAUAUACUGCAUAUAUACACAUUAACAUUUAUACAAAAGAUGAGUAAAGACAGAGGAGGGAAGUACCCUAAUUUCCGGAUUAUAAAGCGCACCCUUGUAU